AAUACACUCCAAAAUAUUGGCAAAUAGGUUAGCUCAAAUACUUCCAUUUCUAAUUGAUCAAGACCAGGUGGGCUUUGUUUUAAACCGUCAGGCCCCAGAUAGCACUAGACUCUAUAUUAAUUUGAUUCACCACAUUAAAAUGAACCGCAUGCCUUCUCUGCUCUUAUCUUUAGAUGCGGAGAAGGUGUUUGAUAGGAUACAUUGGGAUCUUUUAAAAAUGUCGAGGUUUCAUAUUCCAGAUUCUUUCAUUAGGGCUGUGUUUGCAUUGUAUUGUAAUCCAUAGGCCACGGUGUCCGCAACUGGCUUUGUGUCUGACAGUUUUGCUUUAUC